GCCACCAGGCUUAUCCAGAUGGGUAAGAUGAAACUCUGACUCCCUCUGGGUCUAAGAUGACGGACAGAGGAAUCUCAGGGCCAUAACCCUCCAAAUCCAUGAGAUACUGCAGGCCUCUGCCCCGGCUCCGCACAUCCAAAAUCCAUCGUAUUACAUAAGCAGGUUGUUCAACAUGUGGAAGAUAUUUUUGGUGGUAUUCGAUGCACUUACUAAACUUUGGGUAACACUAAUUAAGGAUGAGAUGCAGACGGGAAUUCCCAGUUGCCAAACCGGUAUCCUGGUAAAGAGAGAAAGUGAAAGAUAGAUGUACUGUUUUGGAAUUUCUUCCCAAAAGUCCGAGGUGCGAGGUGAACAGUGACAGCCUGCUGUCUUGGAAGGAGCUGGAAAGAGGUGAGCAGAGGCCGACACCUGGUCCAGGGAAGCCCAGCAGACGGUCCAGAGACAAGCUGCUGUGGCCAGCGAGACGCCGGGAGACAGACUGCACUGCACUCAGACUCUACUGACAUAACAACAACUACACACAGCACUGACCAACAGGAAACUACUGACCAACACUCCUCCAUUAAAUGAAGCCAAUGCAGAGAAGCUAAAACAGGAGAAAUGUGAUCUCUUUUCC